rnacentral:misc_RNA from 1 species
UUUGUAUGUGGUUUCUGGCACUCUCGACUAAUUGAACCUAUUCGACAAGUUUCAAUUUUCAGAUUCAAUGUACUUCUAUAAUUUUCUCUAUGCACUCCAAAGGUCUUGGUUGAAAAGUAUAAUUUUCGCUUGUUUGACACCAUCAGAAGUGUUAAGCAGAUCCUUAAUCCUAGGACAUUUUGUGUGUGUGUCUGUGCAUAUGCAUGUUCACAUGAGAGAGAGAGAGAGAGA